rnacentral:rRNA from 1 species
GAUUAACGCGAAGAACCUUACCUGGGCUUGACAUGUUCCGGACCGCCCUGGAAACAGGGUUUCCCUUCGGGGCCGGAUCACAGGUGGUGCAUGGCUGUCGUCAGCUCGUGUCGUGAGAUGUUGGGUUAAGUCCCGCAACGAGCGCAACCCCCGUCGCAUGUUGCCAGCAUUUAGUUGGGGACUCAUGCGAGACUGCCGGUGACAAACCGGAGGAAGGUGGGGAUGACGUCAAGUCAUCAUGCCCCUUAUGUCCAGGGCUACACACGUGCUACAUUGGCGCGUACAGAGGGUUGCAAGACCGCGAGGUGGAGCGAAUCCCUUAAAGCGCGUCUCGGUUCGGAUUGCAGGCUGAAACUCGCCUGCAUGAAGGCGGAGUUGCUAGUAAUCGCGGAUCAGCAAUGCCGCGGUGAAUACGUUCCCGGGCCUUGUACACACCGAAUCACUAGU